UAGUCCACGCCGUAAACGAUGAUUACUCGCUGUCGGUUUUUAGGAUUCGGCGGCUAAGCGAAAGUUAUAAGUAAUCCACCUGGGGAGUACGUUCGCAAGGAUGAAACUCAAAGGAAUUGACGGGGGCCCGCACAAGCGGUGGAGCAUGUGGUUUAAUUCGAUGAUACGCGAGGAACCUUACCAAGGCUUAAAUGCAUAAUGACUUAUCUAGAGAUAGAUAUUUCUUCGGACAGAAUGCAAGGUACUGCAUGGUUGUCGUCAGCUCGUGCCGUGAGGUGUUAGGUUAAGUCCUGCAACGAGCGCAACCCCUAUCAUUAGUUGCCAGCGUUUAAAGACGGGGACUCUAAUGAGACUGCCGGCGCAAGCCGCGAGGAAGGUGGGGAUGACGUCAAAUCAUCACGGCCCUUACGUCUUGGGGCUACNCACGUGCUACAAUGGGUAGGUACAGAGGGGCAGGCUACCU
rnacentral:rRNA from 1 species